GCGCCCGAUCUUGUCUGAUCUCGGAAGCAAA
rnacentral:rRNA from 1 species